rnacentral:rRNA from 1 species
CCCUUAGAUGUUCUGGGCGGCCCGCGCACUACAAUGGCGCUUUCAGCGAGUUCCUAUGUUGAAUUUUCCUUGGUAUUCUUGGAAGCGGCGUCUUGACUUGGGAUAGAUCCUUGUAAUUGUUGGUUUUGAACGAGGAAUUCCUUGUAAUCGCGGUUGAUCAGCUCGCGUUGAAUACGUCCCUGCCCUUUGUACGCACCGCCCGUCGCUCCUACCGAUGAAUCGUCCGGUGAAGUUCACAGAGUGGCGGUUCGUGGAGUUGCUCGCGAAGUGAAAUGGACCUCACGAUUUAGAGGAAGGAGAAGUCGUAACA